GUGAUCUUAACAGCUGAGCUGUCUCUCAAGGUUCUCUCUGUUCUUGCUUGCAGAAAAGUUAAUGCAUCUUUUCAAGUCCUAUUCUAUGGAUAUAAUAUCUCUCUGUCCCUUUUCAAUAGAGACAAAGGAUACUUAUAUGUCCUGGAAGAUCCUCUUGACCUAUAAUGGGUUACUGCUUCAGAUUCCUGGUCAAGGCUCCGAGAAAUUCUACCCCGUCAGUUCUCUAGGACCUAAGCAGUAUUCAGAAAAUAAAUGGUCUCCAGUGACUAAUUAAAGACAUUCCCUUCCUACUGACAUUCUUGACGCCGUGUGGUCCCGCUGUUGAUCUUCCUUUGAAGUUCAAGUCUUCAGACAUUUCAAGCAAGGAAUCCCUUUGUUUCUUCUCCAUCUUCUGAGAUGAAAUUCUGUUGGAUUUAGUUAGGGAACCACCUCAUCUUCUUUCUAGGCCCCCAAAGUAGAACUUGAAACAUGUACAGGUAUCUUUACAAGGAGCAGCCUGCCACCUGAAUGACCUGUUCAGACAAAGCCACUUUCGUCAUUGUCCUUUUUAGGCUCUGCAGUUGGGUUUCUCAGGUUUGGUUUCCAAAGGGGAGAGAGAUAAGGAUAGGUUGUUGCUUUUUGGUGACUGGAGGCUACGUCUAUUGAUGGCCAUGCAGAGACAUCAAAGCAGCUCAGUGCUGGGUAUAAGCACGUGCAUCUUUGCACCAAUUGGAAUUUGCAAGUCCUCGGGUACUGAGAAGCCUCAAGUGCACAUUGCUCUUACCUCUCCAGCCCUAUGCUAGGAACUCACCAGUCCUGCAGUAUCUACAUUGGGGUCUCCUGUCCUACAGAAGGGCGGUUCUUAGGCAACAGCUGGAGUUUAUUUUGAUCUCUGUCUUUUGAAGCCAGAAACUGUUCAUGUGUAACUUUAAAGAAAACUGUGAUUUUUUUUUCCCCUAGCACAAAGCUGCAAUUUCAAGGCAGGAUUCUAUUAAAAACAGACAAAUAAUUCCCAUUCCUUCCUGGUCCUGCCUAUUGUUUUCUUAAGUUUGUUUGGAUUUCCAGAUUGAAUCCUUCUGUCUUAGUCUCCAAAGAGAGGGUCCCGGCCAUGACUGCCCCAUGAGGUUGACUGUCUGGUGAGGUCCUUGGGAGACACUUCCUGUUUCUCUGUCACAGAGGCGUAUGGAGGAUGUGGGAGAAUGUCUCCUGUCUUCCCUAUUCAGAGAGCCUUUUAUUUCCUCCUUAUGUUUUGUCUAUAGCCAGUUUUGGUUUUCCUAAGAACUGUUCCUAGGAAGAGGUGUUGGUCCAGAGCCAGCACUACUUAUAGAUGCCCAGUAAGCCCUGGAGUCGGUUUAAAGAAUCCAGGACUGUAUUCAACAACUAAUCCACUACACCCAAAGAAACACAUCAAAGACCACUAUCUGCUUCUAGCCACAUGCUUCUAGAUACAUCCAGUGGAUGAUGCCCCAUGUGUACCACAUGAUUCUUUGCCAAGGAAGCAUCCUUCAUGUAACCAUGGUUCCAUUCUCCCAAUUUUCUGGUGUGUUCAGUGUCUUUCACAUAGCCAUUGCCCAUUGGUCAGAACUGGAUGCUAGUUGCAACUCUGAAUCAAGAGUUGACUUUCCAAUGGAAAACAUUCUUGAAAUGGAAAUGGACUA